GACGAACGCUGGCGGCGUGCCUAAUACAUGCAAGUAGAACGCUGAAGGAGGAGCUUGCUUCUCCGGAUGAGUUGCGAACGGGUGAGUAACGCGUAGGUAACCUGCCUGGUAGCGGGGGAUAACUAUUGGAAACGAUAGCUAAUACCGCAUAAGAGUAGAUGUCGCACGACAUUUGCUUAAAAGGUGCACCUGCACCACUACCAGAUGGACCUGCGUUGUAUUAGCUAGUUGGUGAGGUAACGGCUCACCAAGGCAACGAUACAUAGCCGACCUGAGAGGGGGAUCGGCCACACUGGGACUGAGACACGGCCCAGACUCCUACGGGAGGCAGCAGUAGGGAAUCUUCGGCAAUAGACGGAAGUCUGACCGAGCAACGCCGCGUGAGUGCAGAAGGUUUUCGGAUCGUAAAGCUCUGUUGUAAGAGAAGAACGAGUGUGAGAGUGGAAAGUUCACACUGUGACGGUAUCUUACCAGAAAGGGACGGCUAACUACGUG
rnacentral:rRNA from 1 species